rnacentral:rRNA from 1 species
UACGGGGGGAGCAAGCGUUGUUCGGAUUUACUGGGCGUAAAGGGCGCGUAGGCGGUCAGCACAAGUCAGUUGUGAAAUCUCCGGGCUUAACUCGGAAAGGUCAACUGAUACUGUGCGACUAGAGUGCGGAAGGGGCAACUGGAAUUCUCGGUGUAGCAGUGAAAUGCGUAGAUAUCGAGAGGAACACCUGCGGCGAAGGCGGGUUGCUGGGCCGACACUGACGCUGAUGCGCGAAAGCCAGGGGAGCAAACGGG